rnacentral:rRNA from 1 species
AACGAGCGCUGGCGGCAGGCUUAACACAUGCAAGUCGAGCGCCCCGCAAGGGGAGCGGCAGACGGGUGAGUAACGCGUGGGAAUCUACCCAUCUCUACGGAAUAACGCAUGGAAACGUGUGCUAUUACCGUAUAUGUCCUUCGGGAGAAAGAUUUAUCGGAGAUGGAUGAGCCCGCGUUGGAUUAGCUAGUUGGUGGGGUAAAGGCCUACCAAGGCGACGAUCCAUAGCUGGUCUGAGAGGAUGAUCAGCCACACUGGGACUGAGACACGGCCCAGACUCCUACGGGAGGCAGCAGUGGGGAAUAUUGGACAAUGGGCGCAAGCCUGAUCCAGCCAUGCCGCGUGAGUGAUGAAGGCCCUAGGGUUGUAAAGCUCUUUCACCGGUGAAGAUAAUGACGGUAACCGGAGAAGAAGCCCCGGCUAACUUCGUGCCAGCCGCCGCCGUAAUAC